rnacentral:rRNA from 1 species
CAGUCGCCGCGGGAAUACGAAGGGUGCAAGCGUUACUCGGAAUUACUGGGCGUAAAGCGUGUGUAGGUGGUUGUUUAAGUCUGUCGUGAAAGCCCUGGGCUCAACCUGGGAAUUGCGAUGGAUACUGGGCGACUAGAGUGCGGUAGAGGAUAGUGGAAUUUCCGGCGUAGCAGUGAAAUGCGUAGAGAUCGGAAGGAACAUCUGUGGCGAAGGCGACUAUCUGGGCCAACACUGACACUGAGACACGAAAGCGUGGGGAGCAAACAGGAUUAGAUACCCCAGUAGUCCCUGUCUCUUAUAC